CGUCCGUCCGUCCGUCGUCCGUCGUCCGUCCGUCGUCCGUCCGUCGUCCGUCGUCCGUCCGUCGUCCGUCCGUCCGUCGUCCGUCCGUCGUCCGUCCGUCGUCCGUCCGUCCGUCCGUCCGUCGUCGUCCGUCCUUCCGUCGUCCGUCGUCCGUCCGUCGUCCGUCGUCCGUCGUCCGUCCGUCGUCCGUCGUCCGUCCGUCGUCCGUCCGUCGUCCGUCCGUCGUCCGUCCGUCGUCCGUCCGUCGUCCGUCCGUCCGUCCGUCCGUCGUCCGUCG
rnacentral:lncRNA from 1 species